CUCCCCUCCUCAGGCAAGUGAAUGUGAAAGGCACCGUGCUGAGAUGCUGGAACAAUGGCAAGAAGAGAAGGCAAAGAGAGAGCGGGAACACGAGAAGGUGCUGCUUGAGCUGAGGCAGAAAGUUGCCACCCUGCAGGUCCAGCAGCUCAGGCAGGAGGUGAAAGAGCAGCAAGAGAAGGGACAGGUAAGUCUGAGUAGGCAGGGAAUGGAGUGCAGGGCAGGGACAAGGGCACAAAAGGCAGCUCCUGGGACUGAGGAGGCAAGGGCUGCCUCAGGCUGUGGGAGCACAGAGCCUGGUAA
rnacentral:lncRNA from 1 species